rnacentral:rRNA from 1 species
CAGCAGCAGCCGCGGUAAUACGUAGGGUGCAAGCGUUAAUCGGAAUUACUGGGCGUAAAGCGUGCGCAGGCGGUUUUGUAAGACAGAGGUGAAAUCCCCGGGCUCAACCUGGGAACUGCCUUUGUGACUGCAAGGCUAGAGUACGGCAGAGGGGGAUGGAAUUCCGCGUGUAGCAGUGAAAUGCGUAGAUAUGCGGAGGAACACCGAUGGCGAAGGCAAUCCCCUGGGCCUGUACUGACGCUCAUGCACGAAAGCGUGGGGAGCAAACAGGAUUAGAUACCCCCGUAGUCCCUGUCUCUUAUAC